UACGGAGGGGGCUAGUGUUGUUCGGAAUUACUGGGCGUAAAGCGCACGUAGGCGGCUUUGUAAGUUAGAGGUGAAAGCCCGGGGCUCAACUCCGGAAUUGCCUUUAAGACUGCAUCGCUAGAAUUGUGGAGAGGUAAGUGGAAUUCCGAGUGUAGAGGUGAAAUUCGUAGAUAUUCGGAAGAACACCAGUGGCGAAGGCGGCCGAC
rnacentral:rRNA from 1 species